GAAAGAGUAUCUGGCAAUACUUGACUUGUAUGAGGUAGGUUCAUAUGCAGGUCACCAGGUAGAGCAGCCAGUCUUUUCUUUCUCUUCCGGCAUCCUUGGGGGCUGCUGUUAACCCCCUCCUCUUUGAUCAGGCCCAGAGAUAGGCCUGGAGAUGAUGACUGGCAUAGGAACCAACCAAUGAGAACCAAAGAAAUCUGAUAGCUGCUACUGUACCCAAAAGCUGGCGUGCUGUGGAUGUGCCUCCAGUUGCAGGAAUGGUUUUAGCUGUGAGAACUUCUCCAGACAACCUGUUUUCUCUAUUUGCAUGAAGAAAAGAGAGAGCAAACACAAGAAUUUCUCCAGUGCAGUACUGACUUCCUCUGAGGCCCCAGAGAAGCCAUUCCAACACUCUUCCUUCGUUCCUCCAGCUGUAAAAUGGAACUAACAUGACUAAUAAUGUGUUUCACAAGGCCCUAAAACAAAGUAUCUGUGCCUGACUUUCAAGGCUGGGAGAAGAAAGAGGUAACAUAUGCUGAGCUGCUUUAAGCUUUGCGGUCAAAACGCCAGAGAAUAUUAUUCUGCAGAUUUGAAAACGGAGUCCCAGGGAAGCAAAAGGACUUGCCGGAAAUCCUGUGACAGGGGAGCAUCAGGGGCAACGCUCAGGGCCCCGGACCUCACCCAGAAAUAGUAAAACAUCUGAUCACCACUCUUCCCAUACUUGUCCAUCAAUGUCAAGACCAUUCAGCCAUCUCUGGUGGAGAAAAGGAAGAGAUAACGAUUUCAUGGGUGCAUUUACAAAAGGCACUUAAACAAAAAUGGACAACAAAUUUAUAUAGCCUCAGGAAGAAGAUGGCUGGCACACUGCCCUUGGCAGACCCUCUGGAAAUAUUUUGACAAGAUUUUCAUACCUGGCAAAGUUUAUGAAACUUUUCUUUCUUAAAAGUCCUUCCCUUCAAUUUUGUCUGUAUCUCAAAAGCAGAGCUUUCUAAAACCUACUGUCUUCUGGGAAUGAA